rnacentral:rRNA from 1 species
ACAUAACUGAUGCCUCCGCGUAUCGACUUUGUGCGCAUUUUAGCUAUUAUGUGUUCUUUUAAUUAAAAUGAUUCUUUUUAAGAUUCAUCUAUUAAAAAUUUGCUUCGGCAUAAUUUUUUUUGAUGAUCUUGUUACUUUGAGUAAAUUAGAGUGUUCAAAGCAAACAGCUAUAGCAUUUGUGCGUUUGAAUACUACAGCAUGGAAUAACAAAAUUGAACAAGUCAGAAUUUUUUUGUUCUUUUUUCUUAUUUUGGCUUAGUUACGAUUAAUAGGAGUAGCUUGGGGGCAUUUGUAUUCAGAUGUCAGAGGUGAAAUUCUUAGGUUUUCUGGAGACAAACAACUGCGAAAGCAUUUGCCUAAAAUACUUCCAUUAAUCAAGAACGAAAGUUAAGGGAGUGAAGACGAUCAGAUACCGUCGUAAUCUUAACCAUAAACUAUGCCGACUAGGCUUUGGAUGAAAGAUUUUAAAAUAAGAGUUUUUCUUUUCUCUCCGGAGAUUAGAACUCUUAGAUUGCUUCCUUCAGUGCCUUAUGAGAAAUCAAAGUCUUUGGGUUCUGGGGCGAGUAUUCGCGCAAGCGAGAAAGUUAAAAGAAUUGACGGAAGGGCACCACCAGGCGUGGAGCUUGCGGCUUAAUUUGACUCAACACGGGAAAACUCACUAGUUUAAGACAAGAGUAGGAUUGACAGAUUAAUAGCUCUUUCUUGAUUUCUUGGAUGGUGAUGCAUGGCCGUUUUUAGUUCGUGAAUAUGAUUUGUCUGGUUAAUUCCGAUAACGAACGAGAUCUUAACCUGCUAAUUAGCGGCAAAUACGAUAUAUUCUUAUGUAGAAUUGAAUAUAGUGGAUUUGUUAGAUUUUGAAGAAAAUAUUGGAAUUACGUUAAAUGUGAUUCCUUUCCCUUUUCUACUUAAUUUACAUUUCCAUCUAUUUCUUUUUUGCGUAUGAAUGUAUUUGCUUGAUUGUAAAGCUUCUUAGAGGAACGAUGUGUG